CCUACGGGCGGCAGCAGUGGGGAAUAUUGGACAAUGGGCGAAAGCCUGAUCCAGCCAUGCCGCGUGUGUGAAGAAGGCCUUCGGGUUGUAAAGCACUUUCAGUGGGGAAGAAAGCCUUGGGGCUAAUACCCUCGAGGAAGGACAUCACCCACAGAAGAAGCACCGGCUAACUCCGUGCCAGCAGCCGCGGUAAUACGGAGGGUGCGAGCGUUAAUCGGAAUUACUGGGCGUAAAGCGCGCGUAGGCGGUCUGAUAAGCCGGUUGUGAAAGCCCCGGGCUCAACCUGGGAACGGCAUCCGGAACUGUCAGGCUAGAGUGCAGGAGAGGGAGGUAGAAUUCCCGGUGUAGCGGUGAAAUGCGUAGAGAUCGGGAGGAAUACCAGUGGCGAAGGCGGCCUUCUGGACUGACACUGACGCUGAGGUGCGAAAGCGUGGGUAGCAAACAGGAUUAGAUACCCGGGUAGUC
rnacentral:rRNA from 1 species